AUCCAUGGAGAAUGCAAACAUGUGCCACCCCCUGCAGAAAAGGCAGAACCGCCGAAAGCGAAGCUAAAUUCCACUAAAAAAGAAUGGAGAGAACCGACACUUGCCCUUUGAGGGAGCUGAGAGCCAGCCCCAAGUCCAUGCCCGACUGCAG